UCUCAUGAGGUCCUGAGAAAGUGCGC
rnacentral:piRNA from 1 species